rnacentral:rRNA from 1 species
AACGAACGCUGGCGGCAUGCCUAACACAUGCAAGUCGAACGAGACCUUCGGGUCUAGUGGCGCACGGGUUCGUAACGCGUGGGAACCUGCCCUUAGGUUCGGAAUAACUCCCCGAAAGGGGUGCUAAUACCGGAUAAUGUCUUCGGACCAAAGAUUUAUCGCCUUUGGAUGGGCCCGCGUUGGAUUAGCUAGUUGGUAGGGUAAAAGCCUACCAAGGUGACGAUCCAUAGCUGGUCUGAGAGGAUGAUCAGCCACACUGGGACUGAGACACGGCCCAGACUCCUACGGGAGGCAGCAGUGGGGAAUAUUGGACAAUGGGCGAAAGCCUGAUCCAGCAAUGCCGCGUGAGUGAUGAAGGCCUUAGGGUUGUAAAGCUCUUUUACCCGGGAUGAUAAUGACAGUACCGGGAGAAUAAGCUCCGGCUAACUCCGUG